AUUGAACGCUGGCGGCAGGCCUAACACAUGCAAGUCGAGCGGAUGAAGGGAGCUUGCUCCUGGAUUCAGCGGCGGACGGGUGAGUAAUGCCUAGGAAUCUGCCUGGUAGUGGGGGAUAACGUCCGGAAACGGGCGCUAAUACCGCAUACGUCCUGAGGGAGAAAGUGGGGGAUCUUCGGACCUCACGCUAUCAGAUGAGCCUAGGUCGCAUUAGCUAGUUGGUGGGGUAAAGGCCUACCAAGGCGACGAUCCGUAACUGGUCUGAGAGGAUGAUCAGUCACACUGGAACUGAGACACGGUCCAGACUCCUACGGGAGGCAGCAGUGGGGAAUAUUGGACAAUGGGCGAAAGCCUGAUCCAGCCAUGCCGCGUGUGUGAAGAAGGUCUUCGGAUUGUAAAGCACUUUAAGUUGGGAGGAAGGGCAGUAAGUUAAUACCUUGCUGUUUUGACGUUACCAACAGAAUAGGCACCGGCUAACUUCGUG
rnacentral:rRNA from 1 species